CUGCGGAAGGAUCAUUAAUGAAACUUCAAAGUCGGCCAAAGGUUGUUGCUGGUGAUUAUUCACAUGUGCACGCCUUUGGUCGCAAAUCCACACACACCUGUGCAUCUAUGACUCGAGGUUGUAAUGACUGAGAGUAACUUUUAUACACUCUUGUAUGUAAUGGAAUGUCUUUUUGUGCUAUAAUGUACAAUAUAAACAACUUUCAACAACGGAUCUCUUGGCUCUCGCAUCGAUGAAGAACGCAGCGAAAUGCGAUAAGUAAUGUGAAUUGCAGAAUUCAGUGAAUCAUCGAAUCUUUGAACGCACCUUGCACCCUUUGGUAUUCCGAAGGGUACGCCCGUUUGAGUGUCAUUGUAAUCUCACUUCUACAACUUUAUUGUUGUUUGAAUGUGGACUUGGAUGUUGCCGUUUUAUCACGGCUCGUCUUAAAUGCCUGAGUGUACCCUGUUUUGCAGCGUAUCCAGUGUAAUAAACAUUUCACUAGAGUUGGUCGAAAGACCGCGUUGACUAUAUGGGCUCUAUGCUUCAAACCGUCUGCCAUGUGGACAAUUUCUUGACAAUUUGACCUCAAAUCGGGUGGGACUACCCGCUGAACUUAAGCAUAUCAAUAAGCGGAGGAAAAGAAACUAACAAGGAUUCCCCUAGUAACGGCGAGYGAAGAGGGAAAAGCUCAAAUUUUAAAUCUGGUGUCUUUGACUCCCGAGUUGUAAUCUAGAGAAGUGUUUUCCGUGUCGGACCGUGUACAAGUUCCCUGGAACGGGGCGUCAUAGAGGGUGAGAAUCCCGUAUAUGCCACGGACUACCGAUGCUCUGUGAUACACUCUCAACGAGUCGAGUUGUUUGGGAAUGCAGCUCAAAAUGGGUGGUAAAUUCCAUCUAAAGCUAAAUAUUGGCGAGAGACCGAUAGCGAACAAGUACCGUGAGGGAAAGAUGAAAAGCACUUUGGAAAGAGAGUGAAACAGUACGUGAAAUUGUUGAAAGGGAAGCGUUUGAAGUCAGUCGCAUCUGUUGGGGUUCAGCCUGGCUUUUGCCUGGUGUAUUUCCUUUCCGAUGGGUCAGCAUCAGUUUCGACCGAGGGAAAAAGACAUUUGGAAUGUGGCUGUCUUCGGGCAGUGUUAUAGCCUUGUG
rnacentral:rRNA from 1 species